ACCGUUAACGGCGGAACCGCCAUGACGGUGUCUUUUCUUUAUCGAGUGCCCGACAAAUAGCACUUGGCAAAGAGGUCUUUGCCAAUAAUUUUUUUGUCGAGUGCAAUUAAGCCUUUGCCAAGUGCCUGGUGCACUAAGGCCUUGUUUAGUUGGCAAAAUUUUGGUUUUUUGGCUACUGUAGCACUUUCGUUUUUAUUUGACAAACAUUAUCCAAUCACGGAGUAACUAGGCUCAAAAGAUUCCUCUCACAAAUUUCAGGUAAACUGUGUAAUUAGUUUUUAUUUUUAUCUUUAUUUAAUGCUCCAUGCAUGUAACCAAAGAUUCGAUGUGACGGGAAAUCUUGAAAAUUUUUGCGAACUAAACAAGGCCAAGCAAAGACCCAGUCUCUAGUAGUGAUUUACUUCUGCCCUCCACUUUGAUUCAUGGUGUAAAUUGUUUCAUUUUCACUAGCCACCUGUUCUUAGGGGAAAGGAGGUGCCUACAAACAUUUGAAGUUUUCUAGACAUCUAAAACAGUCAUAGCAGCUGUUGUUGAUGUUGUUGAUAACUAAGGAGUUAUUGGUCGAAGGAAUUUGUGAAAGGUAAGAUUUAUUUAUUUAUCCAGUUUGCGUCAUGAAUGCCUGAUUACCUUGUUCCAAGCUUUUGAUGUGCCUUGUUGUUAUUCUGUUGUGUGAUGAUUUAGUGUAAAAAAAAUAUAUAAGAAAGCCUCUUGCUCUCCCCACAAAGGUCCAUGGAUGAGAAUGAGCCUAGGUACAGAAGCUAACAGGAGCCACAAGGGUCAUGUAUACAAUUUGAAAUGAGUCAAAAAUGUUAACAUGCCAAGUCAGUAUUGAUAUAACUGAAACCCAUGGACAUCUAUGCCACACUACAUCAAUUAAAGUUCUAUGACAUAGACAAGGUGGCCUUUACAUGCAAUCAGAAUACACAAAAUUAUAUAUACUCCUAGCAACUAUAACUGCAAAAAAGCAUCAAAUAGUUAAAUCAUGAUUUCUUUUAACCAUACACAUUGUAUCUUACAAAACAACCUUCAAAAGUUUGUUUAUAUAGUUAGAGCAUCAGAGUGUGUGGAUUAAGCCCAAGAGGUCGGUGCAUCUAGAACCGGGUUAAAUAGGCCAACCGAAGAUGGAGAAGUACAAGUAAAAUGGUGAUGUCACUAUGUUGUGGGUAGUUGGAAAAUAACUCACGCUGACUUCACUGUUGGUAGACCAAACAGUCGUGUAGGGUCAGCGGCCAUAACACAUAACCCAGUCGGCUCGGCUUUUCAUAUAACAGAGAAAAUACCACUGCCGCAUAUAUUAUUAACCAUCGAUGGUAGAACUUUCAACUAUCGGUUUCCUUCCUUGGGAGGCCUCGCUAUCGGUCAACCAACGGUGGAAGUAUCACACUGUCGCUUCUAUCGCUAUGGCAGUGAAAGUGGCAAUAGUGAUAAAUCAAUCUGUAGUAGUGUAUGGGUUUUCACUCACAUACUUAGUUACUCACAUGUACAAAUGCCUACUUGUGCUUGGGUUGUCACACACCCUUCUACAACACAAAGCAUAAGGAUUUUUCUUUGAUUAGUAUAAUUUCUACCUCUACCAUUCUACUUGUAUUCUUUCUUUAGUGUACAAUUGUAUAAAACAUAAAGCAUAAGGCUCUUGCUUUGAUUUGUAUGAUACUUAUUAAUAGUGCUCUUGCUCUCUUAUAUGUAGCAUCUAGCAACAUGCCAAGCCAAAGUCAAGCACAUGAGUAUGAUCCUAAGAUCGAUCUAGCAAUGGCGAAGUCAAAUGAUUUAGGCUGGAAAUAUGGAGGACCCUGCUAGGAGAGGCUGGGUGACAUGUA
rnacentral:lncRNA from 1 species